rnacentral:rRNA from 1 species
AUGCCACCUUCUUCGAUGCGACGUUGUCGACACCGUCGCCAACAAGUACGGCUGGGACCCCGUCACGGAGGUCCGGGUCUGGCCGCUCAACACCAAGGGCGCGCUCGUCGGCGCCGUUCAGCGGUACGAGUUCCGCGCCGGUGCGGGGGCGCCGCGGUCGCGCUGGCACGGGCCUCUGACGGGGCCGUCAACUGGAGCCGCCCCGACGCCCCCGCGGUGGAGGAGGUGGUCUGGCCCGACGGGGUCGACUUCGUCGCCGGCGACGGCGCCCUGGCGUUCGGCACCGGCGUCAGGGACAUGGACAUAGUAGGCCCGUUCGAGCUGGUGGUCUCCGAUGGCGCUGGCGGGGGCCUCGCAGAGCUCCAGCUGCCGUCGGUGUCCUGUCUCCGGCGUUCUUGA